GGGUUCGUAGCUCAGUGGCAGAGCAGCCGUUUUUUAAACGGCAGUGCGCGGGUUCCAGUCCCGCCGGACCCA
rnacentral:tRNA from 1 species